UGCUAAUCAUUUAUAUGAGGGAAAGUCAUUAAAUAAAAGGAAUUUUAAUAAGUUUUUUGCACUUGGUCUACCUAUCCACAAGUUUGCAGAUAACCUUUAGAAAAAGCUUUGAUUAGUCCUUUAACCAACUUUGUAACACCUCCAUUAUCUCAUCUACAAAUAUCAGAUCCCAGGAAAAUGUUCUUUUGAAAGCCAAAUAAGUGAAAGUCCAAUGGCACCAAAUCCAGACUAUAUUGUGGAUGUUUUAACACCUCCAGUUUCAGAACAUUUAAUGUCUCCAUUAUAUGCUCUGAAAUUUUUGUCUUCUGUUUUUAAAUCUUUCCACUCUUUCACACACAUUCUCCAGAUUCAAACAACUGUCUCCUGUGGAGACCUGGAAUUUGGGUCCGAUGUAAAAGGUCAUUAUAUACCCCUUUAUCAAAUACAAUUGGUAGAAAUCCAAACAUAAUGAUACUUUA
rnacentral:lncRNA from 1 species